rnacentral:rRNA from 1 species
GAUGAACGCUAGCUACAGGCUUAACACAUGCAAGUCGAGGGACCGGCGCACGGGUGAGUAACACGUAUCCCACCUGCCCUUUACUCGGGGAUAGCCUUUCGAAAGAAAGAUUAAUACCCGAUGUAAAGGAUGGGGAUGCGUUCCAUUAGGUUGUUGGUGAGGUAACGGCCAACCAAGACUUCGAUGGAUAGGGGUUCUGAGAGGAAGGGCCCCCACAUGGGAACUGAGACCCGGUCCAAAAGCCUACGGGAGGCAGCAGUGAGGAAUAGUGGUCAAUGGGCGUUAGCCUGAACCAGCCAAGUAGCGUGAAGGAUGAAGGCUUAUGGGUCGUAAACUUCUUUUAUAUAAGAAUAGGUAUUAUAUGAAUAAGGAUCGGCUAACUCCGUGCCAGCAGCCGCGGUAAUAC